UGGAAUGAGGGGAGUUCUGCAGGAAGGCUUCCUGCAGGGAAGUACUGGAGCAGGAGGGGAAAAUGCAGAAGGUCCUGAAAAACAAAACGUACUUUCCAAAGGAAAAAGGUGUCUGGAAACAUCUUUUUUUAAAAACAAAAAAACCCAUGCCUUAAGUUUCUGCUAGAUCACUUGGAACAGUAUUAACACCUUUGAGAAACUGACCUACUUCUAAGGUAAGGAUGAGACGUGCUGUAUUCUAAGCAGCAAAGGAGAUAUGGGCAGAAGAGAACCAGAGAAGAUGGCCGACAUCAAAGCACCGUCCACAUAAAUUCCCCUCUCUAGCUACCCACUUCUGACUGAAUCAGGAAAGAGAGAUGGCCCCUACCAAACAUACCUUCUACGCAACAUCAUCCUCUGACUGCAUCACAUACCAGAAGAGCACCUGUACCCUCCCCUCCCUCUGCGUCCAAUUUCAGUUGCUCCUUGUACAACUUCUGCCUAGCAAGUCAAUUAUGGUCCUGUCUCAUGUGAAGAUCAAUAAAUUUCAGCAAUUCUC